rnacentral:rRNA from 1 species
GAUGAACGCUGGCGGCGUGCCUAAUACAUGCAAGUCGAGCGAACAGACGAGGAGCUUGCUCCUCUGACGUUAGCGGCGGACGGGUGAGUAACACGUGGAUAACCUACCUAUAAGACUGGGAUAACUUCGGGAAACCGGAGCUAAUACCGGAUAAUAUAUUGAACCGCAUGGUUCAAUAGUGAAAGACGGUUUUGCUGUCACUUAUAGAUGGAUCCGCGCCGCAUUAGCUAGUUGGUAAGGUAACGGCUUACCAAGGCAACGAUGCGUAGCCGACCUGAGAGGGUGAUCGGCCACACUGGAACUGAGACACGGUCCAGACUCCUACGGGAGGCAGCAGUAGGGAAUCUUCCGCAAUGGGCGAAAGCCUGACGCAGCCACGCCGCGUGAGUGAUGAAGGUCUUCGGAUCGUAAAACUCUGUUAUUAGGGAAGAACAAAUGUGUAAGUAACUAUGCCCGUCUUGACGGUACCUACUCAGAAAGCCCCGGCUAACUACGUG